rnacentral:misc_RNA from 1 species
UCUGUCUCCUUUGCCACUGUCAAUAAGAUUCCAACAGAGAUUAUUAAGAUGAUACCCAAAAGUCUAAAGCUUGGAGACUCCAACCUGAAUGCAAAAGCAAAUAGAAGGAGAAAUAUAGGAGAUGCAGAUUUACACAUUGUGGCAAAUGUGACAGAGAUGAAAACAAGGGAUGCAUUGCUCAGGUUAACGUCCAAUGCAGUUCCAAGAGCUGUUGGUACAACUGUGAAAGGGAAAGCCCAUCUCUCAUAAAAUAAUCCCUCCAUGUCAUAGCAACACUGAGUUGAAAUCUAUGAGACCAAAAACAUGUGAUAAACUUUGACAAAACAGCUUGCAUUGCAAAAUGGA